rnacentral:tRNA from 1 species
GGAGGGAUGCCGGAGUGGUCGAACGGGGCGGUCUCGAAAACCGUUGUGCCUUCAUUGGUACCGUGGGUUCGAAUCCCACUCCCUCCGCCA